rfam:Triticum aestivum genome assembly, contig: Triticum_aestivum_CS42_TGACv1_scaffold_424276_5BS
UUAGUACUCCCUCCGUCAGGAAAUACUUGUCGGAAAAAUGCAUAAAAAUGAAUGUAUCUAGAAUUAAAAAACGUCUAGAUACCUACAUUCCUCUGACAAGUAUUUCCGGAAGGAGGGAGUAUAUU